AGUCAUCACUUUCUCAUGCUCUGAGCUUUCCCUCUCCUCACAGGGAAGAACCUCUAGGAUUGUGCCUGUGAUGGUCAGGGCUUCUGCCGGAGCACAGCUCUCCACUGUCAUCAACGAAUCCAUGCUGGAGAGAAGCUGUACCCACAAUGUGCCGGGUGUGGCAGGGCUUCUGUCAGAACACAGAACUCUGUGUGUGUUUAAGAGCCUACACGAGGGAGGCUGUUUGAAGUGGAACUCCUGAAACACAGACCUUCAUGCUCUUUGAGUGAAGCCAUUGGUUGGAGGAGAGUGGCAAGGACUUCAGCAGAGCUCUCACCCUAACAGUCUCAUGGAAGAAACUGAAGAGGGCCUGCCACGUGACAGUGUGGAAAGGCUUUCAGCCAGAGCACAGAUCCCUGAGUUUAUCAAAGACUUUACCCAAGAAAAACACUUACAAACCCUGCUUGAGAUGAAAUCUUCAGUUAUACAAGAGUCUUCUUGUCCAUGAGAGUCCACACAGGUGGAAGGACUGAGAAGUAAGUUCAAGUCUUCACAACGACCCACUUCCACACAGGAGGAAAACCCACAAGUAGGGAGACUGUGGUAAGAACAUGGAGCAUGUAGUGUCCCCUCUACUAGAAAGUCUGUGUCUCCCACAAACCUGUGCAUUCCACAAGAAUGAAGCUAUGUGUGCUUUUCUCACCUGCAUCCCCAGCUCCUAACGGUGACUGGCACAGAGUAGACACUUCUCAUUGCUCAAUGAGAACCCAUGAGUGAGAAAACCCCUGUUCAUGUGGUAUGUGUGGCAAGGGCUUCAGAGUCCACGAUGAAAUCUUCUCAAAACAUCUGUUAUGUAGUAAAGAUUCUAUCCGAUCACGGAUUUCAUUAUGAGUUUGUCCCUGCAGGUCAGAAGUCCUGUUAACCUGAAGAACUGAGCAAUGACCUUAAUCAAAGAUAUAUAUUCAAAUUAUUGAUCAGUGUUAUAACUUUAAAAUACCUCAUCUUCAACACAAUCCUUCAAACUGUGUAAAUUAUAAAAUGUUAGUCAAAACUCCUAAGUUAGAAAGUAUAACUAAUUACCAUAGAAGAAAAGAUCCUGUGAAUAACCUAAGUGAAUUUAUGUGUCUGUACUGACCACGAUGACAUAGUUUGAGUCAGCCAGGUGUGGCUAUUUUGUUUUACAUUGCAUCCUAAAAGACAAGUCAGACUCAUCAAACAGGUUAUCCAGGACCAGUGACUAACAAAGUCUUCCUUCUGGAAAGGGCCUAGCAAAGGGGCGCUUUCAGGCUAAAAGCCUACUGACCCUAAUCUGGUGUCUUUAUGUGCGUCAUGUCACCAGGCAACUUCACCAAAUAAGGCAUCUUUAGGAUAAAUGUCUACGGAAGAAUUAGUUAGAGAAAGAGUCUAAGGCGGGGUCUAAGGAAGGAGAUUAGACAAGAGGAAAGCAAAUCGAAAGGAAAAGGAAAGGGAGAAGAAUCAGCUUCUGAGAACUGAGUGGCAGGGCAGGGAGAAGAAAGCUUACAGGCUUCUUCAAAUGUAUAGACCCCCCCCCACAGGGCUGCCCUUGGAGGUCUGUGAUGAUGUUAUGGUUUGGAUGUGAGGUGUCCCCCAAAAGCUCACGUAUGAGACAAUGCAAGAAGGUUUAGGGGAGAAAUGAUUGGGUUAUAAGAGCCUUAAUGCAAUCAGUGAAUUGAUCACCUGGUGGGAUUAAUUGAGUGGUAAUUGAAGGCAGUUGGGAGGUGGCUAGAGGAGGUGGAACAUUGGGAGCAUGGCUUUGGAGUAUAUAUUUGAAUCUGGUGAGUGGAGUCUCUCUCUGCUUCCUGAUUAUCAUAUGAGCUACUUCCCUCUACUACAUUCUCCUUCCUCUAUGAUGUUCUGCCUCAUCUGGAGUACCAAGGGAUGGAACUGGCUUUCUAUGAAUUGUGACCUCUGAAACUGUGAGUCCUCAAACUUUUCCUCCUCCACAAUUGUGCUGGCCAGGUCUUUUAAUCACAGCAGCAAAAAGGCUGACUAAAACAGAUUGAUAGAGAAGGACUCCACUGACAUCAGGUCCAAGUGGCACCAGAAAUAGAGGAGCUGCUGUGAGGGCCUGGGAAGGCAGCUCAUGCUCCAGUGUUUCCCAAGUGGCCCUAAUCAAGGGGAACUGUUGUCCCUUGAGUGGGACAUAAAGGUAUGAAGACAGUAAUAUGGCUGGCCCACUUCAGGUGGCAUAAAAAUCAGGGAUCAGAGCCUGGGGACCCAGUGCUGAAGAGAGAAAACCUUGGGUAGUGGAGUAAUGGGUAACAUUCGGAAGGAAUCAGUGAUGGAGUCUCAUCACUAAGUCUGUGAAGAGAGAAAGCAUCAACAUUUCCACCACAUCUUUCACCUAAAAACAGGCAUCUCCUCUGAGCUGUCAUUUCUGGGGAAUGGACACCUGUUUUUAAAAAAAUGCAGUGGGCUCUUUAGGAGGACUGUGCCAGUUGAGCUGUCCAGGAAUGUUUGGGCCAAGUUGGGAAAGAGGGUUGGUGUCUGCAGGAUGGCACUCAGAUGCUGUGGAAUGGGCUUAGUAAGGUUCUCUCGACUCUGAGGAUUUCUACUCUGCUCUCUUCUUUCUCCAUCUCUUUCUUUGUCUUUGAUUCUCUCCAUUUUUAGAUUAAAAAAAUAAUUUAAAUUAUUUUGAUAGCAUAAAAUAUUUUAGACAUACAGAAAAAAUUAGGAAAUACAAUAGACAACCCUUUCCUCGCUAUUGAGAUUGUUAAAAAUUUUGCCAUAUGAAGCUGGGCACAGUGGUGCAUGCCUGUAAUCCCAGUGGCUUGGGAGGCUGAGACAGGACAGAUCUAGAGUUCAAAGCCAGGACUGGGGUUGUGGCUUAGUGGCAGAGUACUUGCCUUGCACAUGUGAGGAACUGGGUUUGAUCCUUAGCACCACAUAAAAAUAAACAAAGAUAUUGUGUCCAUCUAUAACUAAAAAAUUUAAAAAUAUAUAUUUUUCAAAAAGAGUUCAAAGGCAGCCUCAACGCAAGCAAGGCACUAAGCAACUCAGUGAGACCCUGUCUCUAAAUAAAAUUAAAAACAGGGCUGGGGAUGUGGCUUAGUGGUCGAGUGCCUCUGAGUUCAAUCCCUGGUGACUCUCCCCAAUUUUUUUUUGCCAUGUGAAUUUCAAAUCUUUGUUGUUGUCAAGGAAUAAAACAACAGAUGCUGCUAAAGCCUCAUGGCCUGUUUCUUCCGCUAGCUCUGCUGGGAGGCAGCCACAUUUCCUGAAUUGCUGUGUAUUGUCCUGUGGGUUUUGUAUUUUGAUUAUGUGGAUGUCCUAGUAUUAAAAAUGUUUACAUCAAUUAUAUUGCAUUAUGAUUACCAUUUCCUUUUUUCAUUGAACAUCACAUUAUUAGAUUUUUAAAAUAUAUAUAUGUAUGUGUAGAUAUAUAUAGAUAGAUAUAGAUAUAUAGUUGUAGUUGAACACAAUACGUUUAUUUUAUUUAUUUAUUUUUAUGUGGUGCUAAUGAUCGAACCCAGGGCCUCGCAUGUGGUAGGUGAGCGCUCUACUAUUGAGCCACAACCUCAGCUCACAUUAUUAGAUUUUUAGUGCUGAAGCUUUAGAAUUAGUUUAUUGAUUUUAACUUCUGUCAUAGAGAUUUUUAACAGAUUCUUAUAAACUUGUGAUAAUGACACAUUUUUGACUAUUACAGCUCUGUAGAAAUUGUUGUGGCUACUUAAAGCCCUUUAUUCUUUCAGACAAACUAUAGGAUCAGCUUGUCAAAUUCCUUGAAUGAAAUAUGUUGAAUUAGGUGGGGGGAUUCCUUUUCUCUCCUUUCUUUUCUUCUGUUGGAUUGUGUUUUAUUUAUUCUCCAUUUCCUCUACAGAAUUAGUAGUCAAUUUUCUCUCUGAUUUAUGUUAGCAUAUAUAAUUUAACAAAGACCAUAGGGGCUGGAGUUGUAGUUCAGUGGUUGAAUGCUUUCGUCAAAUGCGUGAGGCACUAGGUUCAAUCCUCAGCACCAUGUAAAAUAAAUAAAUUAAUUAAUUAAAGAUAAUUGUGUCUAUCUACAACUAAAAAAUUUUUAAAAAAGACUAUAAUUUAAUAAAGACUCUAGUUUUCUUUCUCCCAUGUUCUAUGUUAUGGGUUUAAUUUUGUCACAUUUUUAAUGUGAUCCCAAAUUUGUCAUUAUUAUUAAUGUUGUAAAUAGCCAGUGCAAGUUUGGAUUAAUCUACACAUUUGACAGUUUCUUACUACCGGUUUUUACAUUUCCUUUUUCCUUCUGAGUUUAAUGUCUUUGGCCUCCUGGAGCAGAGACAGCUUAUGUAGUGGUAAAAGCACCAAUUCUGCAGCCAGAUGGCCUUGGUGUGAUAUCUAGCUCUGUCACCCUCUAUGUGUGCCCUUGAGCAGAUUAAUUCAUUUCUUUGUGUCUUGGUUUCUCCAUUUGUGAAAGAGGGACAAUCAUAUUAUUUACUUCAUUAGGUUAUUAUGGAUCAAAAAAAAAUCAAACAAACAAACAAAAACAAAACAAAACCCCAAACAAACAGCAACAAAAAGGAUCAAAUGAAUAAAUAUAUAUAAAAUAGGGCCUGGUACACAGUAAGCCUUAUAAAAGUAUUUUGCGUAUAAAUAAAAUAAAUUAUCCCGACUGGGGUUGUGGCUCAGUCGCAGAGCACUUGUCUCGUACAUGUGAGGCACUGGGUUCGAGCCUCAGCACCACAUAAAAAUAAAUAAUAAACAAAAUAAAGAUAUCGUGUCCAUGUAUAACAAAAAAUUUUUUAAAAUUUUUUAUAAAUACUUAAAAAUUUUUCAACAAGUCUGAGAGUAAUAAAUUCUUUAUUUCUG
rnacentral:lncRNA from 1 species